GGUGUAGGCGGCUAAUCAAGUCCGAUGUGAAAUUUCCCGGCUCAACUGGGACGGUGCACCGGAUACUGAUAAGCUGGAGUGCAGCAGAGGGAGAUGGAAUUCCCGGUGUAGCGGUGAAAUGCGUAGAUAUCGGGAAGAACACUAGUGGCGAAGGCGGUCUCCUGGGCUGUAACUGACGCUAAGAUCCGAAGGCGCGGGAGCAAACAGGAUUAGAUACCCUGGUAGUCCGCGCAGUAAACGAUGGAUACUAGGUAUGGGGAGUAUCGACCCUUUCCGUGCCGAAGCUAACGCUUUAAGUAUCCCGCCUGGGGACUACGGUCGCAAGACUAAA
rnacentral:rRNA from 1 species